rnacentral:lncRNA from 13 species
AUUUCAGCUUUGAAGAUUCUCUGUUUGACUUUGGCUGUGGUCAUCUGAUUUUGAUAAGCCUACAUUUGGAUAUUUUUCAGAUAAUUGCACUUGGGAGAUCAUUGAACUUUUUGAUUGUGUGAUUUAGUGUUUCUCUUUAAAAUGAAAUUUGAGAGCAAGAAUAUGGAGUUGGGGAUAUCCCACUCAUCUCCUUCCAAAGAAACAAGCAUUUGGCAGCCUUUCACAGAAAAAAAGCACAGUUGUGAGUGCACUGGAAUUCAGGUCAGAGGUAGCAAACCUCAGGAUAGCCCAAGAAUGAAGACGGCUGCUUUAAAUACUUAUUAUAUUGGGUAAUGACAGAAGAAAGCCACUGUACUAGAAAGGGCGUAGCCCAGACUUGCUGUAAGAGGGUGAUUUAUGCACCAGUCCAUAGGCUGACACUGAUGACCAAGGACACCUGGGGCUGAGCUGUACACCCAGGGAAGCAGGUAAGUGUCAGGGAAGGGUGUGUGUGAGAACACCAAGCUGGUUGUGCCCACAGGGAGGGGGACUUGCUAAUACAUUGUCAGGAACAUCACAAAGUGAGGUUGUACUUUUAUUUCUUUUGCAAUUACGUAUUGAGUGUGCACAGUACUGUAGGGGCUGGGAGGGGAUAAAAGAGCUGAAUGGCUUUCUCUAGAAUGGUGGCCUGUCUCCCGAGUAGUAACUUGCUGACCCUGCCCCUGAAGUGAAAAAGAGGGUGAAGGGCUACUUGCUCAAGCUUGUUCUCUUUUCUUACCUCUUCCCCCUCUGUGGUUUCCUCUGCCGCUGAACAGGGCCCAGGCAGCCUGCCAUGAGAUCGUGCUCCAAGGACCGGCCGUUCUGCUGGACCCACGGGCUCCUGGUAUUCAUCAGCCUGCUCCUCAGUGUCUGCAGCUCUGCAGCCAACACUUCCGGAGCGCAUGGCUCUGCUGUGAAGGAUUCUGAAAACCACAUUUAUCUGAAGCGCAUCCGAGGAGGUUCUGUCUUGUUUAAUGUGACCGAGAAGCCCAUGGCAGAUGCAGGAGCCAAAAUACAGGAGGUUUUAUGGGGUUUGGGCACUCCGUCAAAGUACAUGCGGCUGCUGCAAGUCCGUAGAGGAGCCGACUCUCCCACCUGGUUUAACCUCCAGGACAAGUUCAAGCAGAGGGUCCAUGUGCCCAGCCUGUGGUCUCUGAGGAUUGAGAACCUGGCCCCUGAAGACAGUGGGCCAUACGUGGCCAUGACCAGCUUAACUGAUGGACAAACGCUUGGUCACGUUUUCUACCUGACUGUCUAUGAGCCUGUGCCUCACCCUGAGAUCCUGGCCAUGUCACUGUCUAUCACACCAGGCCUGUGUAACAUCACUCUGGAGUGUAGGGUUCCAGGGGCCACCCAGGAUCUGAAUGUGACUUGGGAGAGCAAGGGCCUCUUCAGUGAGCUGGAACAGAGAGACACACCAGGAUCAACCGCCAAGCUUUGGACCCUGGCUGUGAGCCUGCCCCUGAGCCAGCAGAUCGGCGAUGUCACCUGUGUGGUCAGCAACCAGGUGGAUCAGAAAGCUGCGACCUUAGACCUUGGGAAAGUCUGUGCCCAAGGUUUACACAAACAGGAUGUGACUAGACUGCUGCCAGGCAUCCUAGGGGCUGCUGUGGCUGUGCUGUUAGUCCUGGGAAGUGGGCUGUAUGUUUUGAAGACAUGUCAGAAGAAGAAGAAGAUGGUGAUGGAAAUAAAAAGGAAGCAUCGGUGAACAAUAUCUGGGAAAAAAGGAAUCUCUCAUUACUACCUGCAGUGAGGUCUGUUAUCCAGACCAGACGAUGGAGAUCAUUUGAUUGGAGGAAGCAGGAGGAUCUGGCACUCCCAGGACACCUGCACUCUGAGCCUAAGUCCUGCAGACCCCUGCCUUUCCCAGCUCUGAUUCAGUUCCAGCUUCCCCUUGUGUGUGUUGAAUUGUCAGAGGCUGCAGUAAAUGUACUCCCUUGGAGAGGCAUCGCUGCCAACAUUUCUGAAAGGCUAUGUCAGUACCAGUGGGGCCCCUGCAACAAUACUUGCCAUCCAGCCUGGACUUUCUUGGACCAAAUCAAUCAAUCUAUCUUUGCCAAAAUCAGAUGAAAUGUCAACUCCAACCUUGCCUUGCAUCAAAAGCCUUGGUAUCCUGCCCAAUAUGCCUGAAACGGCAUAUACUGGGAGACUACUGUGCUGGUAGCUGGUCUCCAUAUAGCUCCCCUUUGUUUGGAGACUUUAAAUGGCUACGCUAAUGCCACUCUGGGGUUUCCCCCACCAGACAAUUGUCAACACAUACUCCAAAUCAAUAACACUACCCCCAACGAAACACAGUCUCUUUCCUACUUCAAUAGCACCUUAUACACUCUAAUUAUAGUGAAACCAUUGCUAUCCCCUGGGGGCCCUCUGGCUAUGCAGAUCCUGUGGGUGGUGAUACCUGCCUCCACAUUGGACAGGGACAUGCACUGAGGGUGGCCAUUAAUUUUAUUCAUGGUCUGGGAUAAUAUUCCCCUCCCCAGUAAUCUAGAUGCUUGCAAACCUCACUGGUUAUGAAUGUGCCAGACUCUUUUUUGGUGGGACCCUAUCACAGCAUUCUUUCCCUGCCACUGGUACAAUCCUGUUUCAGCAACAAAUUAAAAUAGUAAGCUUAUAUGUAGUAAAAGCUCUUAAUGAUAGUAGCACUAAACUUGUGUUGUCGUUGGAUGAAUUUGCUCAGCUGCAUACUGUUGCAUUGCAAAAUCGAAUGGAAUUAGAUACGUUUACCGCAGUCUGAGGAGGGGUUUGCACCUUACUGUAUACUGAAUAUUGUAUGUAUAUCCCUGACAAUUCUCACAAUAUUACCCUUCUUGCCCAAGACAUGCAAAAACAAGUAAAACAGUCAGAAUCUAACCAUCAGCAUCCCAUCAUGGACUGACUGUCCAGCUGGCAUUGGCACUGGCCAUGGUAGGUGUGGAUUUUAUUAAUUAUGCUUUUAAUUUUCCUAUGCUUGUCCUGUAUGUGUAACCUAUAUCAACUAUGUAUUCCUGGUUUAUCUGUAAGGUAUUUUCCUUAUAACUGAGUACUAAAUUGAGGCCAAAUGUGGAGCAGAAGUUAAAUAUUAAAUUUAAACUCAAUUGAACAUGGACACAAACCAGAUAACUUCUAAUCUUAUGGCCUUGGGCAGUCUAGUCUACAGACAUGAAGGAAGUUUGUUUGGGAAAAAAAUAUUGAAGAAUAAUUUAUAGAAAAAAGAACUGUAUAUGGUAAAUUCUUAUCCUAAAAGUAAUUAACUGAUUUUUUUUUUUGAGACGGAGUUUUGCUCUUGUUACCCAGGCUGGAGUGCAAUGGCGCGAUCUCGGCUCACCACAACCUCCGCCUCCUGGUUUCCGGCAGUUCUCCUGCCUCAGCCUUCUGAGUAGCUGGGAUUACAGGCACGUGCCACCAUGCCCAGCUAAUUUGUUUUUUUUUUUUUUGUAUUUUCAGUAGAGAUGGGGUUUCACCAUGUUGACCAGGAUGGUCUCAAUCUCUUGACCUCAUGAUCCACCUGCCUCGGCCUCUCAAAGUGCUGGGAUGACAGGUGUGAGCCACCGCGCCCAGCCUAAUUACCUGAUUUAUUAAAAAAAAUAUACUUACAAGUCAGAAAGUUGAAGCUUGUCAAAAAUUGUCUGUAAAAGUCAUAAAAAUUUUGUAAAAAACUUUAUGCAAGAAAUGUUGUACAAUUUAAUUGUAAAAUAAAUUCUGUGUAUAAACAUAUUGGCUAAAGUUG